rnacentral:rRNA from 1 species
AGUUUGAUCCUGGCUCAGAGCGAACGCUGGCGGCGAUGCCUAACACAUGCAAGUCGAACGCGCAGUUUUCGGUAGCAAUACAGGAGAUGGGCGCGUGGCGAACGGGUGCGUAACACGUGGGCAACCUUCCCUCAAGUGUGGGAUAACCCGCCGAAAGGCGGGCUAAUACCUCAUAACAUUCCGGUGGCUUCUGCCGAUGGAAUCAAAGCCCGCAAGGGCGCUGGAGGAGGGGCCCGCGGCCGAUUAGCUUGUUGGCGAGGUAACGGCUCACCAAGGCAAUGAUCGGUAGCCGGUCUGAGAGGAUGGCCGGCCACACUGGAACUGAGACACGGUCCAGACUCCUACGGGAGGCAGCAGUGGGGAAUCUUGCGCAAUGGGCGAAAGCCUGACGCAGCAACGCCGCGUGGGGGAUGAAGCUUCUCGGAGUGUAAACCCCUUUCGACCCGGACGAAACCCCGCAAGGGAUUGACGGUACGGGUAGAAGAAGCCCCGGCCAACUACGUGCCAGCAGCCGCGGUAAAACGUAGGGGGCCAGCGUUGCUCGGAAUUACUGGGCGUAAAGGGUCCGUAGGCGGUGCGGCAAGUCGGAAGUGAAAUCUCAGGGCUUAACCCUGAGGCUGCUCCCGAAACUGCUGUGCUCGAGUGCGAGAGAGGCGAGUGGAAUUGCCGGUGUAGCGGUGAAAUGCGUAGAUAUCGGCAGGAACACCCGAGGCGAAAGCGGCUCGCUGGAUCGCAACUGACGCUGAGGGACGAAAGCUAGGGGAGCAAACAGGAUUAGAUACCCUGGUAGUCCUAGCCCUAAACGAUCAGGACUGGGCGUGGGCCCCGUACGGGGCUCGUGCCGCAGCUAACGCGUUAAGUCCUGCGCCUGGGGAGUACGGUCGCAAGGCUGAAACUCAAAGGAAUUGACGGGGGCCCGCACAAGCGGUGGAACGUGUGGUUCAAUUCGACGCAACGCGAAGAACCUUACCUGGGCUUGAACCGCGCAGGACCAUCCCGGGAAAUCGGGACUUCCCGCAAGGGACUUGCGUAGAGGUGCUGCAUGGCUGUCGUCAGCUCGUGCCGUGAGGUGUUGGGUUAAGUCCCGCAACGAGCGCAACCCUUGUCAUUAGUUGCUACAUUUAGUUGGGCACUCUAAUGAGACUGCCGGUGACAAACCGGAGGAAGGUGGGGAUGACGUCAAGUCCUCAUGGCCCUUAUAGGUGGGGCUACACACGUCAUACAAUGGCCGGUACAAAGGGCUGCCAACCCGCGAGGGGGAGCUAAUCCCAUAAAACCGGUCGUAGUCCGGAUCGCAGUCUGCAACUCGACUGCGUGAAGUCGGAAUCGCUAGUAAUCGUGGAUCAGAAUGUCACCGGUGAAUACGUUCCCGGGUCUUGCACUCUCC